AACAAGCCAGCCAUGUUCUCGUCCUCCAGUGUUAAUAUCGAGUGCUGACCAUGAGGGAGGCACAGUGCCUGGAAAACACCAGGGACCCAAGACUCCUGCCCUACGUGGUUGGCCUUCUAGUGGGAGGAAAAACAGCAAACUCUACACCUAACAUACGGUUCCUGGUGCACAGCUCUUAAAACCCUCAGAAAUGACUGUUUCUUACACGCAGAAGAGAUGACGCACAUCAGGGACAGGGCACUGGUAGCUUCAAAAUGGGGGCCAGUCUCUAGAAAGACCACCCACCAUGUACGUUGGAGGUCGGAUCUCGCCGCUGCUCUGCAUCACCCAACCCUACCUCUGUGGUCACCGGUAGCCAAUGACUGGACGGCUAGAGCAAACCAUGUCUGCUUAACGUUCAACCCUGGCCACUCAGAAGGCGGUUCCGGGACCAGCAGCAGCAUCCGGAUGGCCGGUCAGGACCGCAGAACCUUAGGCACCAGUCCAGACCUGGUGAAUCAGAGCGCGCAUUUCACAACCCCCAGCUGGGCCAUAGGACAAAAAGUGUGAGGCGUCCUGCAAGCAGCACGCGGCUCUCAGAUGAACAUGAUGAUGGCCGUCACUGCACCUGGGAACCCAAGGUACAGA